rnacentral:rRNA from 1 species
UGGGGAAUAUUGCACAAUGGGCGAAAGCCUGAUGCAGCAACGCCGCGUGAGUGAUGAAGGCCUUCGGGUUGUAAAGCUCUGUCUUUUGGGACGAUAAUGACGGUACCAAAGGAGGAAGCCACGGCUAACUACGUGCCAGCAGCCGCGGUAAUACGUAGGUGGCAAGCGUUGUCCGGAUUUACUGGGCGUAAAGGAUGCGUAGGCGGAUUUUUAAGUGAGAUGUGAAAACCCUAAGCUUAACUUGGGGGACUGCAUUUCAUACUGGAAAUCUAGAGUGCGGGAGAGGAGAAUGGAAUUCCUAGUGUAGCGGUGAAAUGCGUAGAGAUUAGGAAGAACACCAGUGGCGAAGGCGAUUCUCUGGACCGUAACUGACGCUGAGGCAUGAAAGCGUGGGUAGCAAACAGGAUUAGAUACCCUGGUAGUCCACGCCGUAAACGAUGAGUACUAGGUGUAGGAGGUAUCGACCCCUUCUGUGCCGCAGUUAACACAAUAAGUACUCCGCCUGGGAAGUACGAUCGCAAGAUUAAAAACUU